CACACCUUUCUCAAAUCUCCUCAGCUAAGCAGGACAGGGCCUGCUCAGUAUUUGGGUGGGAGGCCUUCAAAGAAAACAGAGA
rnacentral:rRNA from 1 species